GUGGGGAAUCUUCCGCAAUGGACGAAAGUCUGACGGAGCAACGCCGCGUGAGUGAAGAAGGUUUUCGGAUCGUAAAGCUCUUUCGUUAGGGACGAACGUGCUCUUUGUGAAUAAUGAGGAGUAAUGACGGUACCUAAAUAAGAAGCCACGGCUAACUACGUGCCAGCAGCCGCGGUAAUACGUAGGUGGCAAGCGUUGUCCGGAAUUAUUGGGAGUAAAGCGCGCGCAGGCGGGAUAUCAAGUCUGUCUUAAAAGUGCGAGGCUCAACCUCGUGAGGGGACAGAAACUGGUAUUCUUGAGUGUCGGAGAGGAAAGUGGAAUUCCAAGUGUAGCGGUGAAAUGCGUAGAGAUUUGGAAGAACACCAGUGGCGAAGGCGACUUUCUGGACGAUGUCUGACGCUGAGGCGCGAAAGCUAGGGGAGCGAACGGGAUUAGAAACCCUAGUAGUCC
rnacentral:rRNA from 1 species